rnacentral:rRNA from 1 species
GACGAACGCUGGCGGCGUGCUUAACACAUGCAAGUCGAACGGAAAGGCCCUGCUUUUGUGGGGUGCUCGAGUGGCGAACGGGUGAGUAACACGUGAGUAACCUGCCCUUGACUUUGGGAUAACUUCAGGAAACUGGGGCUAAUACCGGAUAGGAGCUCCUGCUGCAUGGUGGGGGUUGGAAAGUUUCGGCGGUUGGGGAUGGACUCGCGGCUUAUCAGCUUGUUGGUGGGGUAGUGGCUUACCAAGGCUUUGACGGGUAGCCGGCCUGAGAGGGUGACCGGGCACAUUGGGACUGAGAAACGGGCCAGACUCCUACGGGAGGCAGAAGUGGGGAAUAUUGCACGAUGGGCGGAAGCCUGAUGCAGCAACGCCGCGUGCGGGAUGACGGCCUUCGGGUUGUAAACCGCUUUCGCCUGUGACGAAGCGUGAGUGACGGUAAUGGGUAAAGAAGCACCGGCUAACUACGUG